rnacentral:rRNA from 1 species
CGUGUAGGCGGCCAAACGGGUCCGGUGUGAAAUCCCUCGGCUUAACCGAGGAAGUGCGCCGGAAACUAUUUGGCUAGAGUGCAGGAGAGGAGGACGGAAUUCCCAGUGUAGAGGUGAAAUUCGUAGAUAUUGGGAGGAACACCGGCGGCGAAAGCGGUUCUCUGGACUGUAACUGACGCUGAGACGCGAAAGCGUGGGGAUCAAACA